GCUAAUGUGGCUUAGUGGUAGAGUGCUUACCUAGCAUGUAUGAAGCCCUGGGUUCAAUUCCUCAGUACCA
rnacentral:tRNA from 1 species